GAACGAACGCUGGCGGCAGGCUUAACACAUGCAAGUCGAACGCCCCGCAAGGGGAGUGGCAGGCGGGUGAGUAACGCGUGGGAAUCUACCCAACUCUACGGAAUAACUCAGGGAAACUUGUGCUAAUACCGUAUACGCCCUUCGGGGGAAAGAUUUAUCGGAGUUGGAUGAGCCCGCGUUGGAUUAGCUAGUUGGUGGGGUAAAGGCCUACCAAGGCGACGAUCCAUAGCUGGUCUGAGAGGAUGAUCAGCCACACUGGGACUGAGACACGGCCCAGACUCCUACGGGAGGCAGCAGUGGGGAAUAUUGGACAAUGGGCGCAAGCCUGAUCCAGCCAUGCCGCGUGAGUGAUGAAGGCCCUAGGGUUGUAAAGCUCUUUCACCGGUGAAGAUAAUGACGGUAACCGGAGAAGAAGCCCCGGCUAACUUCGUG
rnacentral:rRNA from 1 species